rnacentral:rRNA from 1 species
CGGCGGACGGGUGAGUAACGCGUGGGUAACCUGCCUUAUACAGGGGGAUAACAGUUAGAAAUGACUGCUAAUACCGCAUAAGCGCACAGUACCGCAUGGUACGGUGUGAAAAACUCCGGUGGUAUAAGAUGGACCCGCGUCUGAUUAGCUGGUUGGUGGGGUAACGGCCCACCAAGGCGACGAUCAGUAGCCGGCCUGAGAGGGUGGACGGCCACAUUGGGACUGAGACACGGCCCAAACUCCUACGGAAGGCAGCAG